UAAAAUUGAUAAAUUGAGCUCAUAGAAAAGUAUUUGAUAGUAGAGCAUGAAUCUUAUAUGUACUUUAAGUGCCAAGUGUCUGGAUUCAAAAGUAAGGUAUUUGGAAGUAGAGCACGAAUUCGAAUCCAUAUUCAGGACGAAGUGUACCCACCAUAAAACAGGACUUAUUCACUAACCAUGGAAAUAUAAUGGCAAAUUAAAAGUUAUAAGAAAGUUAAAGAAGACGCAGCGGAGCGGGCCCGGUUCGGGUAGUACGUGAAUGAAUAAAAGCUGCCAUACAGACAAAUCUUCCAAUUAGCAUUGUUGACUCUACAUAAUGCAUAUUUCUUAUUCGAUUGCAAUUUCAAAAAGAUAAUAAGAUAUUCCGGCAUUUAAGUACA